AUUUUUGUCACCCUACUUUUCACACUUGAACUGGAUUAUUUACUGUUCAUUAUCAGGUUUUGUACAGUUGAGUAAAUAUAUUCUUUAUGCACCAUUUGUACAUUGGAGAAGCUAGCCAACGACAGAGAAACCAAAAUCUUUAUUCCUUCCAAGACCAUGGUGCUGUAAAAUUAGUAGACUCUCUCCACAAAUCGUAACUACCAUUUUCAUUUUGUCAUACUCCUCAUUUGUCCGUCGACUCCGACUCGGACAGUCCGACUCCUCUCUGUCGAGGUGUCCAUUUUACAAAGGAACCCCAAAGAAACCCCGAAGAUCGAGGAUCUUUGUCGGAGAGUACAUGAGGAACCAGAAGAUGCAACAAAGGGCAGAGACAUUUUAAUGAAAGGCCACCUGCUGAAUUCUUGACUCUGUCAAAUGUAGGAAAAACUAUGACAUCUUCUCUUCCAGAUAAUAUCUGAAGCAGAGGCAUUUUCUAAGUGGUUGAAAAAAGAGCUUCAAGCUUUGGAAGUGGCAAAUGUGCGUGUAAUUUUGGAGAACAAGCAUUAGUUAAUGAGGUACUACAGGCCUUCAGAUUGCUACUAAUUUUGUUCAGGACAUGGAUGAAUAGUUGGGUACAUUCAAUAUAAAAUUUCAAGAUAUGAGAGAGGACAUAAAAUCAGUUGAAGCCCCUAAUAACAAGCUGGAAAUACAUUCAGUAAACAACAAAUCAUUGGUUGAUGAACUUGAUAGCCUUUGAGAAAGAUUGUGCAUCCCUUCCCAGGUUUUAACAAAUCAUUCCCAAAAAAUUAGGAAAUUUCAACUGAAAUUGGAGUUUGACGAUGAAUUUGUGAGGUAUCGUGAUGAAAGAGACCGUGAGUCAUGGCUGAUAUGAAUGGAAGGUGUUUUUCGACGAGACCCAUAAAAAUUAACUUGGUUGCUAGCAAACAGAAUGUGGGUGGUCAGGCUAAAGUUAUGAUUUACCUUUCAUCCUUGUGGUACUUUUGUCAGCUUAUUAGAUGGCCGCAUAUAAUUGACUUAAACAGGCUGAAUUAGAUUUGGUUUUUGCAUGAUGUGAUUUGAUUCCUGAUUUUGGCAGUUCAAAUGCAUUGAUGGCUUUUUGUUUUAGAUAUAUUUUCAACGGUUGAUGCUUAUUCAACAAUGCUGUUCUUAAGUAUGCUUCCUCUCAGUUUUACUCUUGAAUUCUUAAAGUUGUCUCAAAGCGGGAUGUCAGAAGGCUCUAGGCAUUGAGCUAAUUACGGCUAAAAUGGUAACACUUUUAGUGCAUGUCAGUUUUAAUUUCAUGUUUCUUACUUUUGGUUCUAAUGAUAAUAAUAAAUUGUUUUACUCAAUACCCUUUUUUUAACUCUACAGAUACUAUAGGGUCCGUGCAACCUUGUUAAUGGUGUUUAUAAAAAUUUGUUGUUGUAUUCAGGAACCUUUGGCGUAGUUGACUAUACAAAUUACGAAGAUAUUAAAUAUGUUGUAUUCAUCUUGAAAGUGUUUAACCUUCUGAGCAUCCAUGAAUUUUUCCAAUCAAUUUG